UACGUAGGGUGCAAGCGUUAAUCGGAAUUACUGGGCGUAAAGCGUGCGCAGGCGGUUGUGCAAGACAGAUGUGAAAUCCCCGGGCUUAACCUGGGAACUGCAUUUGUGACUGCACGGCUAGAGUGCGGCAGAGGGGGAUGGAAUUCCGCGUGUAGCAGUGAAAUGCGUAGAUAUGCGGAGGAACACCGAUGGCGAAGGCAAUCCCCGUGGGCCUGCACUGACGCUCAUGCACGAAAGCGUGGGGAGCAAACAGG
rnacentral:rRNA from 1 species